AGAACGAACGCUGGCGGCAUGCCUAACACAUGCAAGUCGAACGAGACCUUCGGGUCUAGUGGCGCACGGGUGCGUAACGCGUGGGAAUCUGCCCUUAGGUACGGAAUAACAGUGAGAAAUUACUGCUAAUACCGUAUGAUGUCUUCGGACCAAAGAUUUAUCGCCUAGGGAUGAGCCCGCGUUGGAUUAGCUAGUUGGUGGGGUAAAAGCCUACCAAGGCGACGAUCCAUAGCUGGUCUGAGAGGAUGAUCAGCCACACUGGGACUGAGACACGGCCCAGACUCCUACGGGAGGCAGCAGUGGGGAAUAUUGGACAAUGGGCGAAAGCCUGAUCCAGCAAUGCCGCGUGAGUGAAGAAGGCCUUGGUUGUAAAGCUCUUUACCCGGGAGAUAAUGACUGUACCGGGAGAAUAAGCCCCGGCUAACUCCGUGCCAGCAGCCGC
rnacentral:rRNA from 1 species